AGAACGAACGCUGGCGGCAUGCCUAACACAUGCAAGUCGAACGAGACCUUCGGGUCUAGUGGCGCACGGGUGCGUAACGCGUGGGAAUCUGCCCUUGGGUUCGGGAUAACAGUUGGAAACGACUGCUAAUACCGGAUGAUGUCUUCGGACCAAAGAUUUAUCGCCCAGGGAUGAGCCCGCGUAGGAUUGGCUUGUUGGUGAGGUAAGAGCUCACCAAGGCGACGAUCCUUAGCUGGUCUGAGAGGAUGAUCAGCCACACUGGGACUGAGACACGGCCCAGACUCCUACGGGAGGCAGCAGUGGGGAAUAUUGGACAAUGGGCGAAAGCCUGAUCCAGCAAUGCCGCGUGAGUGAUGAAGCCUUAGGUGUAAAGCUCUUUACCCGGGAUGAUAAUGACAGUACCGGAGAAUAAGCCCCGGACUAACUCCGUGCCAGCAAGCCGC
rnacentral:rRNA from 1 species